rnacentral:rRNA from 1 species
AGUGAACGCUGGCGGCGUGCUUAACACAUGCAAGUCGAACGGAUGAAAUAAGCUUGCUUAUUUCGUUAGUGGCGCACGGGUGAGUAAUGUAUAGCUAACCUGCCCUUUAGUGGGGGACAACAGUUGGAAACGGCUGCUAAUACCCCAUACUCCUUCUUAUCAUAAGAUAAGUUGGGAAAGAUUUAUUGCUAAAGGAUGGGGCUUUAUUGUAUCAGCUAGUUGGUGGGGUAACGGCCUACCAAGGCGAUGACGCAUACCUGGUCUGAGAGGAUGAUCAGGCACACUGGAACUGAGACACGGUCCAGACUCCUACGGGAGGCAGCAGUGGGGAAUAUUGCACAAUGGGGGAAACCCUGAUGCAGCAACGCCGCGUGGAGGAUGACGCAUUUCGGUGUGUAAACUCCUUUUAUAAGGGAAGAUAAUGACGGUACCUUAUGAAUAAGCACCGGCUAACUCCGUGCCAGCCGCCGCAGUAA